UGACACCUAACAGUAUGUAGUGGCAAUACAGUAAAAUUGAAAUGAACCUCUAGAUGUAGUUAAUGUAUGAUUCAGUUCUUCUAUCGUGAGUCCCAACUAGAUGGUAGGUCAUAGAUAAAUCAUCAAACCUCAACAUCAGUUAUAUGAUAGAUUCGAUCAGCUCAAGUCUAAAUGUGAUUCUUGUGAAAACUCUUUUUCAUCAAUCACACUACUGUGGC
rnacentral:lncRNA from 1 species